UCUGCGCUACUCUUCUGCGCGCGAGUGCGGUCCGGUGCCCAGCUUGGGGUGUGCGGGCUUCGUCGCUGUUAACCCUCUAGGGGCAACCAACCGCGUCCUUCUAAAGAGGGCGCCUGUUGAGAGACAAGAAGCGAAAAUCCUAAAGGAAAUCAGACGCAGGGGCAAAGCCCAGGAAUCAUUGGCUGAUCCCGAAGACCUCCGUGAAACCACAGGCUCAUAGGCAGAUCUCCGAGGCCAAGACAACCGGCCAAGAAACCCCACUGCCAGCUAAGCCGCGUUCAGCUGGAGCUCCUCCGAACGGACGGACUUGCAGCCUUCCCUUUCCCCAGCCAGGAUGAGGGAAUUAGACAAUGGAAGUCGAGCACUAGGCAAAGCAGGCAUUCUGCAUGGGGAAGAGCUCCGAGCUCUCUGUAGCCUUGGAGAGGGAA